AUCCAGACUUUGAUUUUGGCUCAGGAUGAACGCUGGCGGCGUGCCUAAUACAUGCAAGUCGAACGAAUCUCUUUUAGAGAUGAGUGGCGAACGGGUGAGUAAUACAUAGGUAACCUGCCCCUGUGCGGGGGAUAACAGGAGGAAACUCCUGCUAAUACCGCAUAGCCAUGAGCACCGCAUGGAGCUCAUGCCAAAUAUCCUUUAUGGGAUAGCGCAGGGAUGGACCUAUGGCGCAUUAGCUGGUUGGCGGGGCAACGGCCCACCAAGGCAACGAUGCGUAGCCGGCCUGAGAGGGCGGACGGCCACAUUGGGACUGAGACACGGCCCAGACUCCUACGGGAGGCAGCAGUAGGGAAUUUUCGGCAAUGGGGGAAACCCUGACCGAGCAACGCCGCGUGAGCGAAGAAGGCCUUCGGGUCGUAAAGCUCUGUUGUAAAGGAAGAACGGCGCAUACAGGAAAUGGUAUGCGAGUGACGGUACUUUACCAGAAAGCCACGGCUAACUACGUGCCAGCAGCCGCGGUAAUACGUAGGUGGCGAGCGUUAUCCGAAAUCAUUGGGCGUAAAGAGGGAGCAGGCGGCCGCAAGGGUCUGUGGUGAAAGACCGAAGCUAAACUUCGGUAAGCCAUGGAAACCGGGCGGCUAGAGUGCGGAAGAGGAUCGUGGAAUUCCAUGUGUAGCGGUGAAAUGCGUAGAUAUAUGGAGGAACACCAGUGGCGAAGGCGACGGUCUGGGCCGCAACUGACGCUCAUUCCCGAAAGCGUGGGGAGCAAAUAGGAUUAGAUACCCUAGUAGUCCACGCCGUAAACGAUGGUCACUAAGUGUCGGGGGUCAAACCCCGGUGCUGCAGUCAACGCAAUAAGUGA
rnacentral:rRNA from 1 species